GCGGUGACAGUGCAGGAGCAGCUGCAGCAGUGACAGCGCAGUGCAGGAGCAGCUGCAGCAGUGACAGCGCAGUGCAGCAGUGCAGUGCAGCAGUGACAGCGCAGUGCAGGGUCCAGACAAGCUCUGGCCGAGCUCUCAGAGACUUUAUGCAUGAAUACAAUCUGGAGUAGAAACUCAAUGGUCCUAUAAAUCAGGCACAGAGGCAGCCCUGUAUGCAGCCCAGGAUUCACCUGCCUGUCUGCACCUUGUCUUCAUCAGCCAAAUCCUGAGCACCUGGGGGAAGGGCAGCCCUGGCUUGGGGUGGGAGCAGGCAGGAGCUGGAGGAGCUGAGCUGCACAGCCAGGCACGUCCAGCUGGGAUUGUGCUGCCCUGUGCAGGACGUGGAACCAGCCCUGUGCAGGACGUGGAACCAGCCCCGUGCAGGACAUGGAACCAGCCCUGUGCAGGAUGGGGAACCAGCCCCGUGCAGGACACGGAACCAGCCCUGUGCAGGACGUGGAACCAGCCCUGUGCAGGACGUGGAACCAGCUCUGUGCAGGAUGUGGAACCAGCCCUGUGCAGGAUGGGGAACCAGCCCCGUGCAGGAUGUGGAACCAGCCCUGUGCAGGACGUGGAACCAGCUCUGUGCAGGAUGUGGAACCAGCCCUGUGCAGGACAUGGAACCAGCCCUGUGCAGGACAUGGAACCAGCCCUGUGCAGGACGUGGAACCAGCCCCGUGCAGGACGUGGAACCAGCCCUGUGCAGGACGUGGAACCAGCCCUGUGCAGGACAUGGAACCAGCUCUGUGCAGGACGUGGAACCAGCUCUGUGCAGGACGUGGAACCAGCCCUGUGCAGAGCUGCUCUGGAGGAACCAGCCCAGAAACCUUGGCCCAGAGCAGAAGGAGCUGCCCCGUGCAGCACUGCCAGCCUGCUGGGACAGCCACUGUGAGUAUGAGACAGAACUAACUGUGGUGGUGGGAAUAGUAAAUAUUUGAUUAUUUAUUAUUUUCUGUGGUGGUAGCAUUAACAAAAGCUUGCCAUUGCCAUGUGUAGCUUUUGAUUUUCUUCCCUUUAAAUAGCUUUAAGUAAUGCUGGACACAAAAGGCUUCAUUUGCAGCUGUUCAAAUUAACUUUUCAUGGUGGAAAUAAUAGAGGUGGACAGUUAAAACUAAUAUUUUAUAGAUUUUUGUGUAAGGGAAUUUAUAAUCCACAUGUUAGUUGACUGCAAUUUAGAUUACUUAGGAAAGGGCUAAUAAGGAACACAACCUGUGCUCCCAGCCUCCAAAGACAGUUUGUUCUGUUAAGAGAUUGACAUUUAAAUAUUUGGUGUGGAAGAGGAAAAAAAAGAACAUUUCACUGGCUGCAGCACAAACCGGGUUUGGAGUCAUUCAUGGUCCUUAUGUAGAAGUCAAUGAAACAUUUACUGAAAAGCAGAUUUUUGUGUGACAAAAUCUGCUCCUGUUGAAAUGCAGCUUCAAUGUCAACACAGAGUAAUAUUCCACAGAGCUUUUCCCUGUGUGACAAUUAUUUUAACCCAUCCCUGACCUGGGAUGGGUGCUAAAGUCAAGGCCCUGGGUGGCAUUUAGGUGUGUGGCCCAUGGAUUUAGGUGUGUGGCCCAUGGAUUUAGGUGUGUGGCCCAUGGAUUUAGGUGUGUGGCCCAUGGAUUUAGGUGUGUGGCUCUGGAUUUAGGUGUGUGGCUCAUGGAUUUAGGUGUGUUGUUCGUGGAUUUAGGUGCAUGGCUCUGGAUUUAGGUGCGUGGCUCUGGAUUUAGGUGUGUGGCUCUGGAUUUAGGUGUGUUGUUCGUGGAUUUAGGUGCAUGGCUCUGGAUUUAGGUGUGUGGCUCUGGAUUUAGGUGUGUGGCUCUGGAUUUAGGUGUGUGGCUCUGGAUUUAGGUGUGUGGCUCUGGAUUUAGGUGUGUGGCUCUGGAUUUAGGUGUGUGGCCCAUGGAUUUAGGUG